rnacentral:rRNA from 1 species
GAUGAACGCUGGCGGCGUGCCUAAUACAUGCAAGUCGAGCGAACGGACGAGAAGCUUGCUUCUCUGAUGUUAGCGGCGGACGGGUGAGUAACACGUGGAUAACCUACCUAUAAGACUGGGAUAACUUCGGGAAACCGGAGCUAAUACCGGAUAAUAUUUUGAACCGCAUGGUUCAAAAGUGAAAGACGGUCUUGCUGUCACUUAUAGAUGGAUCCGCGCUGCAUUAGCUAGUUGGUAAGGUAACGGCUUACCAAGGCAACGAUGCAUAGCCGACCUGAGAGGGUGAUCGGCCACACUGGAACUGAGACACGGUCCAGACUCCUACGGGGGGCAGCAGUAGGGAAUCUUCCGCAAUGGGCGAAAGCCUGACGGAGCAACGCCGCGUGAGUGAUGAAGGUCUUCGGAUCGUAAAACUCUGUUAUUAGGGAAGAACAUAUGUGUAAGUAACUGUGCACACCUUGACGGUACCUAAUCAGAAAGCCACGGCUAACUACGUG